rnacentral:rRNA from 1 species
UACGGAGGAUGCGAGCGUUAUCCGGAUUUAUUGGGUUUAAAGGGUGCGUAGGCGGACGCUUAAGUCAGCGGUAAAAUUGCGGGGCUCAACCUCGUCGAGCCGUUGAAACUGGGUGUCCUGAGUGGGCGAGAAGUACGCGGAAUGCGUGGUGUAGCGGUGAAAUGCAUAGAUAUCACGCAGAACUCCGAUUGCGAAGGCAGCGUACCGGCGCCCAACUGACGCUGAAGCACGAAGGCGUGGGUAUCGAACAGG